rnacentral:antisense_RNA from 1 species
UUCUCCCGGAGGCGCAUGAUGUCCUCGGCCAGGUUGUCGCGCUCCACCUCGACGCGGGCUUUGUCGUUGGUUAGCUGGUCCACCUGCCGGCGCAGCUCCCGCAUCUCCUCCUCGUAGAGGUCCCCCAGGCGCGACUUGCCCUGGCCCUUGAGCUGCUCGAGCUCGGCCAGCAGGAUCUUAUUCUGCUGCUCCAGGAAGCGCACCUUGUCGAUGUAGUUGGCGAAGCGGUCAUUCAGCUCCUGCAGCUCCACCUUCUCGUUGGUGCGAGUGUUCUUGAACUCGGUGUUGAUGGCGUCGGCCAGCGAGAAGUCCACCGAGUCCUGCAGGAGCCGCACCCCGGGCACGCUGCUCCGCAGGCGCACGGCAGAGGAGCGCGUGGCAUACACGCCGCCCGGGGACGAGGCGUAGAGGCUGCGGCUAGUGCUGGGGCGCAGCGCGCUGCCCAGGCUGUAGGUGCGGGUGGACGUAGUCACGUAGCUCCGGCUGGAACUCGGCCGGCUCGCGGUGCCCGGGCCGCCGAACAUCCUGCGGUAGGAGGACGAGGACACGGACCUGGUGGACAUGGCUGCGGAGGGUGGCGAUGGGCUGGGCGGCGGCGGUGGCGCGGACUGGCUCCCGGAGAAGAGGCGAACGAGGGCGCGACAGCAAAGCUCCCUUUGGAUGACAUAGAUUUAUUACUUAGUAGUAUAUCAUGUAUUGGCCGUCCCACAUUUUGAAAUUUAAUGGACUCGUGGUGAUCAGAAGAAAAGAAGCCUUCGAUGUGAGGCCCAGGCAUUGAGUACCAUGUGUGCGAUUCAUGAGCCUUGGCAUCUGAACAGGUUUUUGGAAGGAUCCAUCAAGACAACACAUCGGGGGCGUACUAGUGAAGUGAUUUUCAAAAUGUGCUACUCAGACCUGUAGCAUCAGCAUCACUGGAUA